UACGAAGGUCCCGAGCGUUAUCCGGAUUUAUUGGGUUUAAAGGGUGCGUAGGCGGAUUAUUAAGUCAGUGGUGAAAGCCUUCAGCUUAACUGAAGAACUGCCAUUGAUACUGAUGAUCUUGAGUAUGAUUGAGGUGGGCGGAAUGUGUCAUGUAGCGGUGAAAUGCUUAGAUAUGACACAGAACACCGAUUGCGAAGGCAGCUCACUAAGCCAUAACUGACGCUGAUGCACGAAAGCGUGGGGAGCAAACAGG
rnacentral:rRNA from 1 species